AAUAAAAGAAUGAUAAAUCAGAUUAUUCUUUCUAAUUUUUAGCUUUUUCUUCUUGAAAAAAUUUAAAUCCAACUAAAAAUGUUAAAAAUCAAGAGGAAAAAUUUGAUUUGUCAUUCUCCUAUU
rfam:Gossypium raimondii Chr04_contig_362, whole genome shotgun sequence.